rnacentral:rRNA from 1 species
GAUAAACGCUGGCGGCGUGCCUAACACAUGCAAGUCGAACGCCCUACGCAAGUAGGGAGUGGCGGACGGGUGAGGAACACGUGGAUACCUACCCUUUGGUGAGGAAUACCGGCGAGAAAUCGCCGACAAUACCGCAUAGGUUUGGAAACAAACAAAGCUCGCAAGAGCGCCAGAGGAUGGGUCUGCGCCUGAUUAGCUUGUUGGUGGGGUAAUGGCCUACCAAGGCGACGAUCAGUAGCUGGUCUGAGAGGACGAUCAGCCACACGGGGAUUGAGAACGGCCCCGACUCCUACGGGGGGCAGCAGUGAGGAAUUUUCGGCAAUGGGCGCAAGCCUGACCGAGCAACGCCGCGUGCAGGAUGACGGCCUUCGGGUUGUAAACUGCUUUUCUUUGGGACGAGCAAGGACGGUACCAGAGGAACAAGCCCCGGCUAACUACGUGCCAGCCGCCGCGGUAACAC